rfam:Brachypodium distachyon strain Bd21 chromosome 3, whole genome shotgun sequence.
CAUCUACUCCCUCCGACCGGUAUUACUUGUCUCAAAUUUGUUCAAAUAUGAAUGUAUCUAUGUGUAAAAACCGUCUAGAUACAUGUGAUAUUACGACAAAUAAUUCCGAUCGGAGGGAGUAGUAA